UAAACUGGAAUAGUAGCACGUGUGUCUAAUAUUGUACAGUAUGUGCAAGUGGGAAUACGGAAAGAGUAAAAAUAUACUUAUAUAUACACUAUAAUAUACUAUUACGUAUCUUCAGAUACCCAAAAUCACAACCGUUUUUUUAAAUACUCCACAGCAACCACGCUGUCAAUGCGUAGACCAGCACAUUCCACUGAGAAGCCUGAUGUGCGAGUCACCACGCUACAAUUUUAACCCGUAAGCAUCCAUAACCCUGUCAAUGUGUUAAAAUACAACGUGUGCCUGAUCUGAACCCAUGAAGGGACGUUUAGGAAACGUUGUGGAGUGCUUGUCAUGUGACUAUCACAGGCUACGGCUUCCCCAAAAUGGCAGCGUGUCAGUUCAUGUAAAACAAACUAGUGGUUGUCAUCUGGCUAUCCCUGGACAUGGCGUCCCCAAAAUGGCAGUGUGUCAGGGGUCAAGGGGCAAGAACGUAUCAAUAGGAGAAGAGUGGCUGAUGCAGCAUUCAGAGACGGGCUGACUCCAGACAGAUCGAUGACAUCCCUGUCUGCCAUUGAAAUGAAGGCCCAGCUGGAAGCAAUGACUUUUCAAUGUGCUGUUAGGGCAGCUGGACAGGGGAGUGCUGAGACAGCAUGAGUCUAACCAACGAUGCUUUGCUGGGUUUCAAAGGUGAGAGAGAUGAGAGAGUCACGGUUCUUAAAAUGAUCUCAAGCAACGCCCAUCACAGUGUUAAUCUUGUCAGAACUAUUAAGGAGUUGAGCUAAUGUAAACAUACUGUACGUCCUACAUAGAGACAGACAACCAUUCACACUCAACUGAAACACUAGACCCACGGUAUUCAACUAAAAUCCAAAUAGGUCCGCAAACAGAAAAUGUCAAGCUAAGGUCCGGUCCGAACGACUGAUCUACUGGGUCAGGAUUUUUGUGGAUUGCUCAUAUA